GCAACUAGCUAUAUUCUUUGCUGAAUUAAAAGUAUAGAGGAGUGAGGGAAUGUGAAAAAACUAGAUGCUGACACCUCGAUCCGGCACCCAGCCCAGCGAGUCUGCCUGUGCGCAGCGGCCUUCACCAUGGAGAAGCUGAGUGCAGCAAACAACCACUUCACCUUAGACCUGUUCCGUGCCUUAAAUGAAGACAAUCCGACUGGAAACAUCUUCGUCUUUCCCUUCAGCAUUUCAUCAGCGAUGGCCAUGGUCUUUCUAGGGACCAGAGGCAACACUGCAGCACAACUAUCCAAGACUUUGCAUUUCAAUAUGGUUGAGGAGAUUCAUUCAAGAUUUCAGAAUCUGAAUGCUGAUAUCAACAAAAGUGGAGCACCCUACAUUCUGAAACUUGCUAAUAGAUUAUAUGGAGAGAAAAUCUUUAAUUCCUCACUGAGUUCUUGGAUUCGACUCAGAAAAUGUAUGGUGCUGAACUGGCCAGUGCAGACUUUCAGAAUGCCUCUGAAGAUGCAAGGAAAACCAUAAACCAGUGGGUGAAAGGACAGACGGAAGGGAAAAUUCUGGAACUGUUGGCUAAAGAUAUGGUUGGUAGCAUGACUAAACUUGUGUUAGUGAAUGCCAUCUAUUUCAAGGGAAACUGGCAGAAUCAAUUCAGGAAAAAAGACACAGCCAAUGCACCAUUCAGAUUGAAUAAGAAAGACACAAAAACAGUGAAAAUGAUGUAUCAGGAGAAAGCAUUUCCAUUUGGCUACAUCGAGGACUUUAAGACCCGUGUGCUGGAACUGCCUUACCAGGGCGAGGAGCUGAGCAUGCUCAUUCUGCUGCCCUACGACAUCGAGGAUGACUCCACGGGCCUGAAGAAGGUUGAGGAGCAACUGACUUUGGCAAAACUGCAGGAGUGGACCAAGCAUUUGGCAGUCACUCAAGUCAAUGUUGGCUUACCCUGGUUCAAACUGAAAGACAGCUAUGUCCUCAACAACCACCUCACCCGCCUGGGUGUGGAGGACCUGUUUGAUAGCAGCGAGGCUGAUCUGUCUGGCAUGUCAGGAGCCAGCGGUAUUUUUGUAUCAAAAAUUGUCCACAAGUCCUUUGUGGAAGUGAAUGAAAAGUGUACAGAGGCAGCGGCUGCAACAGCAGUGGAGGUUUUCUUCUGUAGCAAGAUGUCAGGGGAAACUUUCAUUGCCAACCAUCCAUUCCUUUUCUUUAUUUGGCACAAUCCCUCAGCCAGCAUCCUGUUCAUGGGCAGAUAUUCUUCCCCAUAG